GCCACGCCCGAAGUCGUUACCUCAACCGCAAGGAGGGGGAUGCCUAAGGCAGGGCUAGUGACUGGGGUGAAGUCGUAACAAGGUAGCCGUACCGGAAGGUGUGGCUGGAUCACCUCCUUAAAGGGAGACCUAAUUCCGGUAGGAGACGAAAAAAAAGUAGUCCCAACCAAGAAUCAAUCCCAAAAGGUCGGAGCGAGGCGAAAUUGGCUUUCAAACUAGGUUCUGGGUUCACACAAGACCUGAAUCAGGAACAAGGGCUAUUAGCUCAGGUGGUUAGAGCGCACCCCUGAUAAGGGUUAGGUCCCUGGUUCGAGUCCAGGAUGGCCCACCUGUACAGGUGGAAGAAAGAAAAGAAGCUCCGAAUCAGCACCUUAUCUUACUUAUAUAGUAAGAGAGAAUGCUGGCUCUGAGUUCAGAGUCCAGAGGAACCUUGAAAACUGCAUAGAGCUAGGUGAAAAAGCCAAAAAAGAAGACCGCCAGGUCAAGCUAAUAAGGGCUAACGGUGGAUACCUAGGCACACAGAGG
rnacentral:sRNA from 1 species